GUUUUGCUGUUUGAUAGAUGGCAGCACAAGUGGCUGAUGGCGGAUCCUUGCGUGGAUGUGGGAUAUCCAUACCACUGCUCAAGGAUGUUGCUGGCUCCUAUGGACGCUGUGUGCAAUGAGCGAUCUGUUGGCCGUUGGCCAAGCAGUUUGCAUGAAGGAGGUCUCAUGCGCUAGCUCAUUUGGCUGAGCGGUGCGUGUGAGACUCCCCUGUUCGCUUGAGCGGUUGCCGCUGCACGUCAUGUGUGGGACCCAACUUGUAUAGGGGGUUUGCCGACAUGAUGCGCCGGCUCUUUGCUUAGGGCGUGCUACCUG
rnacentral:misc_RNA from 1 species